GACGAACGCUGGCGGCGUGCCUAACACAUGCAAGUCGAACGAGUCCACCCUUUCGGGGGUGAGGCGAGUGGCGGACGGGUGAGUAACACGUGAGCAACCUGUCUCCGUGCGGGGGACAACCCGGGGAAACCCGGGCUAAUACCGCAUGGGCGGGACCUUCGAGUGGAGGACCUGGGAAAGACGGCCUCUUUACAAUGCUGUCGCGCGGAGAGGGGCUCGCGGGCUAUCAGCUGGUUGGUGAGGUAACGGCUCACCAAGGCGACGACGGCUAGGGGGUCUGAGAGGACGACCCCCCACAUUGGAACUGAGACACGGUCCAGACUCCUACGGGAGGCAGCAGUGGGGAAUUUUGGGCAAUGGCUGAAAGGCUGACCCAGCGACGCCGCGUGCGGGAGGACGCCCUUCGGGGUGUAAACCGCUGUCAGAGGGGAAGAAACACCCGGGUGAGAAUACUACCCGGACUUGACGGUACCCUCAAAGGAAGCGCCGGCUAACUCUGU
rnacentral:rRNA from 1 species